GUCGGCGUCUACAGCGAUGAGGGUCCACCUGUUCCCAUUCCGAACACAGAAGUUAAGCUCGUCCGCGGUGAAAAUACUUGGGCGGCGACGCUCCGGUAAGAUAGCUCGGUGCCGACA
rnacentral:rRNA from 1 species